rnacentral:misc_RNA from 1 species
GAUGAAGAACGUAGCGAAAUGCGAUACUUGGUGUGAAUUGCAGAAUCCCGUGAACCAUCGAGUCUUUGAACGCAAGUUGCGCCCGAAGCCAUUAGGCCGAGGGUACGCCUGCCUGGGCGUCACACGUCGUUGCCCCCCCAUCUAAUCCUUCGGGAUUGCGGGGGGCGGAUGAUGGCCUCCCGUGCGCCUCGUCGCGCGGUUGGCAUAAAUGCCAAGUCCUCGGCGACGCACGCCACGACAAUCGGUGGUUGCGAAACCUCGGUUGCCCGUUGUGUGCGGUCGUCGCGCAUCGAGGGCUCGAAAAAAUUGCCGGGCUCCGGCUCGACUUUCAACGCGACCCCAGGUCAGGCGGGGUUACCCGCUGAAUUUAAGCAUAUCAAUAAGCGGAGGA